GCUGGGAUAGCUCAAUGGCAGAGCAGCGUAUUUGUAAUUCGCAGGUUGUGGGUUCAAGUCCCAUUCCCAGCCCCA
rnacentral:tRNA from 1 species